UCUGCCCCCCCCCCCCUCCCCCAACCUCUCCCCAGCGCGUGUGUAUUUGUGUGGCUGUACGUGUGCACGCGCGCACACUGUACAAUGCGCAUGGUAUUUGUGAAUGGGACAGUGGGGUAGCGUGUGUGUGUGCACCUCUCAAAGCCAUUUGUAAGCACGCGAUGAUCAGCCAUUGAUAAAGAAAAGCCAGGCAUAGGCAGGCAGGCAGGCUAUCAUAGAUGGGUGAAGAGCAAGAAGCAGAGACCACACACAAGCACAACCACACACCCGGCGGAUGCACGCUUGUAAUUUGUAAACUUCGAUCGAUGUGCGCGCUUCUCCAUGUGUGUUUCCCGAGCGUGCGGCACUCUUGGAUUGGAAUUUUGGAAGGAAUUUUUGGAAAACAAAUGCAGCAAUUUUUGACCUGUAAUGGCGUCUGUCGAAAAGCGCUUCAAUGCAUAUAACGUUAGCUGAAAAGCGGGCGCAGCACAACUGCUCACUGCUGUUGUUCGGCAUGGGAAUACUUCCAUGUUAGGCAGUGAGGCUCUAGUUGUGAAUUUUCCGGAAAAGUGGCGUGGGUUGAACCGCAUACCUUUUCUUCUCCACACGGGAGUGUUGCACACAGGAUGUACCGGCCGGCAUUUUACACACGAGACACACAAACGCACACAUGCGCGCGCGCUUUCGCUCUCCUACCUCUCCGUGUAGAAUGACGUACUACUCACACACACACAGUGUCUACGCGUGUGUGCGUGUACAAGCGUGUGCACAUCACCACGUACACACAGGAGCAUAAAAAUCCAUGUCAAAAGCGGUUAGAGUAGUCUCCUUCGUUUGCGCUAUGGCGCCCUUUUACACAGCGUAUUAGCGCGGUUGUGGAGAUAUGAAUAAUGAAAGCGAUUUGAGUAUUUUACUGUACUCCUUUUUUGCGCUUCAUUUCCGCUUAUAAAAGAAGCGUUAAUAGUGUUAAGCGCCUAAGUACUCGUCGGCUCUGUAGCAAAGCCCGCUGCUGCAAGCAUUCAUAAUUAAAUGUCAACGAAUGACAGAAAAAGAGUGCGUGUGACAGAGAAGGAGAGUGAGAACGAACGAAAGGGAGCAUGUGUGUGACCAACAUACUUGCACUUAAAAAAAAAACAAGAUUGCCACUAAAACGUGGUGUUCUAAGAGCGUCUAUCAAGCGGAGAAAAGGGGCAUAUAGUGAAUUUGAAAUAAUCUAUUUUUGACACGAUGAACCAGAAGUAGUCUCGCCAGGUCGUCCCGUCUGUGUCCGUCCGUACUAUUUUACACCCGAUCGCUUCUCUUCUCCCGGGAGGAAGAGUCCGGGAACCGCGCUUGUUUGCAGAAAAAGGUCUAAGAACUGUUGUUUUCCAAGGAAAAUCUGACCGAAUUCGGUGGCCAGUACAGGUGCACAGAGAUGGAGAUGACCUUGCAAAAGAUGGAUGGUGGCAAAGCAAGGUGUGCUUCGCCUCGCCUGCUAGGUGUUGUAGAACGCGCGCAAACAUGGCUGCGCUACCACAAGAAGAGAUACGCCGACCUCUGUGUGACGAACGCAAAGAUGGUGCGGUGGCACCCCGUCACGACCACCCUGUACCGCGCACGCAUUUCUUCUCCUCCCGAAUAGUGUGCGGAUCGACCUAUCACACAGCGUUCGGGUAAGCUGUGUGUUUGGUAUAGUGUAACGGAAAUCGAAGUAUCGUUUUUUUUUUCACUUAUGCACUUCCAGUUUCGACAUGCCAAGAAAUGUCGGUGCGAGAGCGCAUCCCGAAUCCGGGAAUGAUGAUGAACUUAGUAGAAUUGUGUGUUAUAGAAUUAGUAAGGCGUGCGCCUUCUCUAUCUCUGCGACUUGGUGGUGCUGCUGCUGUCGCUCCUCAUCAUGUCAAGGGUCUCAUUCGCGCUCACACUCCAAGAUGACGCCGUCGCCUUGUAGCGCGUUAUAUACUCAUGCUCGAUCGAAAAUGCCGCUUCCAUGAAAACAGCAGCAGCAGAUGAUGAUGACGAUGAUGGUUACGCUUAGCGAGCCCGGCAACGGCGUCGCCUGCCAAGAGCGAAACUGUUAUGUACGUGCGCGGCGUAUGCGUGCGAGA